UACAGAGGUCUCAAGCGUUGUUCGGAUUCAUUGGGCGUAAAGGGUGUGUAGGUGGCGCCGUAAGUGGGGUGUGAAAUUUCGGAGCUUAACUCCGAAACUGCAUUCCAUACUGCGGUGCUUGAGGACUGGAGAGGAGACUGGAAUUUACGGUGUAGCAGUGAAAUGCGUAGAUAUCGGAAGGAACACCGGUGGCGAAAGCGGCGCGCUGGACAGUUCCUGACACUGAGACACGAAGGCCAGGGGAGCAAACGGG
rnacentral:rRNA from 1 species